CUUCCAAUCUAACUCGGCAACCCCACAGGCUUCUCUGCUCUGGCCGACUCCUCUCCCACAACUUCCCAACAUCUUAUCUCAUCAACCUCCUCACCACUCACUCACUGCUCUGCUGAACAAUUUUACUGGUGGUCUGAGACGUUUGCUAAGUACCCAAACAACAGCAGCAACAACAAAAAUCUCUUCCUGUGUCACGGACCGCAUGAUGGCAAAAUUCUAGGCUCUUCCUUCUAGGAAGAUCAUUCCUUCUGCCCCAUUGGUGGGAGGCUUGGCCAUCUGACUGGCUUUGGCCAAUGAAGUCAGUGGCCACGAUGCAAGCGAGAACUUGGAACGCCAUAGCAGAAUCGACUCUGUCUUCUUCUUCUUCCACAAGACAGCUUUGGCCCUGAGAUGGAAGUGGGGGGCAGAGCGGCAGCUGGUUGGUGGUAAAAUAGAAACGUGGGUGAGCAACAAACAGCCCUUUGUAAAGAUAAUACUGGGGGAAGGUACACACACAGGUGUCACCAAGCUGGAGAGCCUACUUUGGAGAAUAGAAGAACAGAAGAAAAGCAACCCAUCUGAAGCUCGUCUGAAAAAGUUCAGGCCCCGGGGCCAGCCAAGUGUGUUCAGGCGACGGAAGUGUUGGAGAGUGUCCGCUAAAAUAUUUGAAAUUUCUCCCUUUCUCCCUUCCGGUUAAAGCAGCUUCUAGAUAACCAAACUGGGGAAGGGGGUGGGGUGGCAAAAAUCCCACCGCCUUUCCUUAACGUUCUCAUCUAAGCAAUAAAGUCACUUCCCUUCGCCAAGGCUGAGGGUCAAACUCUCAAAUUAACCCAAAGCAAUAAAGCAAGGUGGGGGGGGGCGUGGAGGGAAGAGGGGAAGGAGGGGGGAGAGACAGAGACAGAGACCCGGACAGAGAGAGAGAGAGAUGUAGCUUAAAGAAAGAGAGAUAAAGAGGAGGUGGGUGAGUGCUGUUUGAGGAAGUUAAUCACCCAGAACCUUUUAGGAAAAUGGGGACAUUUUCUCUCUGAGAGCAGUGAAUGAUCCGCCUAGAUCCAGUUACUCGAAUCGAAUACAAACAAGAGCAAAGGAAAUACGGAGAGAACCGACACAAGGCUUAACUCGGGAAGCUUCAAGUCUGCCUACCUGUGAAAGGUCAGGCCCCAACACCCCUUCUGGAAAAUACCACAGGUGUACAUGGGGUCCCGGGAGGCCCUCAUGCCGGUUAGCUGCUCGGUUAGGUGCCUCCGAGUAGGGGCCAUUCCUGCGUGAAGGCGGAGUAGGGUAGACGGACCGGGGGACCGGCACCACGAGGGACGAAGGGGACGAGGGGAGGAAAUGCCGGAACGAGGGGUGGCAAGAGAGCGGACGGCGUGUGGACGCCGGUGGCCGGGGCUGGGGGCCGAGCGAAGCGGGGCUCGGAAAGGGGGGGUGGGAGGGCCACACCGGACACCGGGCACCGGGCUGGCGGCCGGCCCNNNNNNNNNNNNNNNNNNNNNNNNNNNNNNNNNNNNNNNNNNNNNNNNNNNNNNNN
rnacentral:lncRNA from 1 species